CCGGGGCGGCAGCGGGGCCGAGCGCAGGCGCCGCCCUCUCCCGGCCUCGGGGCGCCUCGGACACGGUUAGUCUUACAUUUAUGGAAGUCAGUCGUUCUCGCACAGUUUGUUUUUCCAGUAGUCGAACAAUUUUGGUGAUGACAGUUCCCAGGUGUUGGUGAUGAAAAACCAGCAUGGAAUGGGUUCUGGAUUGGAGUGGAUGGGAGAGGCACUGCAGAUGAGGAAGAUAAGCAGCCCCAAAGCCACGGUAAAGGAGGGCUCGUCCAUGCGAACCUGGGAGCUGCAGGGUGAUGGCGGAACUUGGAAUGAAGAGGACAACUGUAAGCCCAGGGCUGUCACAGUGAUGGAGAGAUGGCAGUCAGGAAGUCUGUGCGUGACAGCAACAUGGAAGGGGGAAGCCAGCCGCCAUAUGACAGGCAACUGUAUGGAGAAGCCCGCAACGUGAAGAGCUGAAGCCUCUUGCCAGGGCACGUGAGCAAAAUAAAAUGAAAACUGGACCAUGCUUCCUCAUGGAGUCAGAAUAAGAUUCAGCAAGAAGGUUUCACUUCUGGCCGGCCAUCUCCUUUUUUGGGAAUCCCAUUGUUCUCAAGGACCCUGUUUGUUCUACAACUUAUAUCAAAACUCCCCCUUCCUGAACAUGAAGUGGGGAGGAGAGAAGACCUUGGCAUUCCUUCAUGUGGUAGAGGUGGAGCGUGCUCACAUACAGAAUUGAUUUCCUGGAAACUCAGCAGGCCCAGCCUUUUCAAUCUGUGAAUGACAACGGAUGGCAGUCACAGCCUCCCUGGAGGGCACCUCACGUGUCACCAUUAGCAAAAGUAUCAACACAUCCUUCAUCCACUGCAAUUGUAUUUCUAAGUGUCUUUCUUAGAUGUAUAUUGGCAAACAAUCAUAAAGAGACAUAUUCAAGGAUAUUCAAUGGCAGCGUUGUUUGAAACCAUGAAAUCAGAAACAAUAUAAAUGACCAACCAAGGAAAAAUGAUCAGCUGAACUAUAAUGCAUCUAUACUAUGGAAUAUAUCCAAAGAAUAAAAUGGAUCUAUAUUCUGAUGUGGAAAGAUCUUUAAGACAAAUUCUACAUGAAAAGAGCAAUCUGCAGAAAGCUAUUUCUCUAUGUCUAUAUACCCACAUACACAAUGUGCAUAGAUAUGGAAACAAAAGAAAUCGGUUUAGAAGGACACCCAUCAAAUAGAUAGCAGCGAUUACUUCAGGGAAGAAAGUUGCAUUUGUGUGGAAGUUGGAUUAAAGUGGACUUUUCUUUGUUUCUGAAUUAUGAGAAAGGGGCAAGGAAAGCAUGCAUGCAAUGUAGUAUAGAGAUUAAUUUCAUGGUCUCUGGAACCAGAUAACCUGUGUACAUCAUUAAACUUGUGGUUUAAAUAGGUGGCAGUAUGCCACUUAUUUAACCUUCUGUGCUUGGGUUUUCUCCUCUGUAAAAUGGGUUAACAAUCGUGUCUACCUAAGAAAGUGGUUGUAAAAGGUGAAAUAAUAUGAUACAUGUGAAGUGUUUGGCACCUAGUAUGGAUUAUGUUAAGUGUUAGCUUGUAUCAUUGAUGUAGGAAAGAAUAAGUCAUUGGUGACUUCACUCUAGGCAGAGAAAAAUUAUUACAUUCUUCAUAUUUUGGUACUAGUGAGACCUCAGGAAAUGUGCUUUAAAAAAAAUCAGCAUCAAAUAGGGACUCUGUGGCAUCUUACUACACUGAUGGAUAGUGACUGCAAUGGGGUAUAGAGAGUAAUGUUAUAAUCACGUUGCUUUUCUUGUGAAACCUUUGUAAGAGUAUAUAUCAAUGAUACCUUAAUAAAUUAAUAAAAGAAAAAUUAAUCAAUGUCAAACAGCUCUGCAGAUGAGUAUUCUAAUGGUCUUGCUUUUUUAUAGUCAUCCUGGAACAAAGUGCAGCAAGGUGCACUGGAGAAGAGUACAGUCCUUGAUUAUUAGAA